rnacentral:lncRNA from 1 species
UUUGGGUGAUGCUUGUGUAUUCCUUGGAUCUCUUAUGGUCACAUGGUUCCCAUGCCAAAGAUGCUGCAUCUCCUGUAUCCAGGUUCAGGCAUCUGUGGUGCAUCCGCAGGGCUGGGAUGGCUUAAGAUCUCUCAUUUCCUGCCGCGACUCUUGUCUAACCCAUCAUCCUAUGAUGACCAUUUGUCUCCUAUAGCCCUGAAGUCAGGUAGUUUCUUUUUAAAAUUAGUAGUUGAGUCUCAUUCAGAUGUUUUAAACAUAGGAUGACCUUCAUUUUUUAUUAAUUAUUUUAUUUAUUUACAUUUUAAGUGUUGUUCCUCUUCCGGACCCCCUCUCCGUGAGCACGUCCCCCUCCCUCUUCCCUCCUCCCCUUUGCCUCUAAGAGGGUGUUUCCACUCCCACCUCACCCCUCUAGUAUCCCCUUCUCUGGGGCAUCAAGCCUCCACAGGACCAAAAGCAUCCCCUCCCACCGAGGCCAGACAAAGCAGUCCUCUGCUACAUAUGUAGUGGGAGUCAUGGACCUUGUUUGGUGGUUUAGUUCCUGGGAACUCUGACGGGUCUGGUUAGUUGGUACUGUUGUUCUUCCUAUGGGAUGGCAAUCCCCUUCAGCUCUUUCAAUUCUUCUCUUCAAUUCUUCCCAUAGGGGUCCCUGGGUUCAGUCCAAUGGCUGGCUUUAAGUAUCUGCAUCUGUCUCAGUCAGGUCCUGGUAGAAUUGAGUGUAGACAGCUCUAAGGAGACUUUCUGUGUGUUAUCAAGCCCAUCUGCAGUGGAAAGGGAACCCUGGAAGUCCACAUGGCCUAGCUGGCUCGGAUGAGGUAGGAGUGUACUCAGAACCUAAGUUUCACCAUCAGCACAAACGUCCUGAAGCAGGGGCAUUCCAUGGUUGCGGUUGCCUUGGAAUGGAGACAUGUAGCGUGAACUGGGGACCAGACACCUCAUAAAUGGCUCUGUGACUGCAGGUGGCUUCCAUUCCUAGAAUGAUUAAAUACUUCUUUAAAUGGCUAAGGUUAAGCUCUGAAGCAGAUAAGCAUCCUUAUAAAGACCAAGGGAGACCAUAACAUUCUACUUAGUGUCCUUUCACAUAGGAACACUCAACAAAACUGGCUUCUCUUCCUCAGGGACACAGAAGAGAAAGCUUAUGUCUGUGUUGGGAACAUGCUAGAAGCACAAAGCAGAGGAUGUGACACUGUGGUCUCAGAAGUUACAAAAAAACAUAACAUGUUCUGUUGGAAUUAUACCUGUACGUGGGCUAUAAGGAAGAUAGGAAUUCAUGAAGUGAUAAGGUAUUUAUUUUAUUGCUGUGACUAAUUAAGAUAAUAGUUUUCACUGUUCCAUUUGUUAAAAUCUUAAGAUGUUGAAUUUCAAAUAAUCUGCUGAUAUUUAAAUUUUAUCUUGUCAAGAAUAUCUGAUUUUUUCUAUAAGAUUAUGAGUAAAAAAAAGUCUGCUUUCACUACACCAAAUUUUUCAUUAGUUAUUCCAAGCAGGUUUGUUUGUUUGUUUUUGUUUUUGUUUUUGUUUUUGUUUUUUGGGGG